UUUAGCUAAAGGUCAACUGUUUGCUAACAUCUGGAUUUGGACCAAGGGAAGGCCAUGCCAUUCCUUAGAGCCUGACCUAGGGAGGGCCUUGCCCCUCCUCCGGAUCUGAGACACUGGUGUCCUUGGCAUGGCUGUGCUCACGUCAACAGUACACACCCUAUUGGGACUUUAUUCAUUCACCACAAAGCAGCUCCUGGUCUCUGAAACACAAAGCUGACACAGAGAUUCUGCCCACUCUGUUGAUGAAGUUCACCCCUUUCCACUUCCUUGUGGGUACAAUGCGUGAAAGCUGGAAACCAAGCAACCCUCAUCAUCCAUGAAGUGCAAGCAAAUAUGUCUUCAUCAGCAUCACCUUUGGACUGGGAACUGUGGCCGUGGAAACAGGAAGAAUCAUAACCCGAGUUCCGAAGGUGCUCAUGGGACAGAAGACGAGCCACGAAGACGAAAGAGUCUUCAUUUGGAACUGUGUCUAGGAAAUGGUGUGAAGUGUCGGUAAAUGCGUAUGAUUCCGCUACGGUGCUCAAUGCUGACCUUGCAAAACGGGGCAGUCUUCUGGAUGUGCAUGUGAUGAAGAGAAGGA